GCUGUAGAAAAGAGGACAGCAUUUCCCAUUUCUGGCAUUACGAAUGACAACACAGCAACUGAAAGCAAGCAUGAAUUUCUGGGAGUAGCAUUAGGAUACAGGGCUCCUGCUGAGCUCACCAGAUCCUUGCUCUGCACAGCUGCCUUCUCAGCUGGGGGUUUUAAAUCAGCACAGUGAGAAAAGAUAGAAAUGACCAUGAUGCAUCCUCCUCACUAUGAGAAAAAGAAAUUAGCAUAAAAGAUAUUUGGAAGCAUCUUUUAGGAGGAAUUAUUCCCAGCACAACUCUAUACAACGUCAUCAAUUUCCCCCCUUUUGUGAGGACAAAAUCCAGACAAAAUAAUUCCACUAAUAUGAAGAGUAAUACGCAGCCCUUGAACCGGAAAGCUGAUCUGAUACUUAAAAAUGAGGGGUUCUCGCUUUCUUUGAAGCCACGUACCAUCUCUGGGUGGUAGCCGAGUAUCAAACAAACAGAGAUGCCUUUUCUCCCAUGCUGGAAGCAGUCACCCCUGUUGCCAAGGAAACAUCCUCAGGCAGCAAGGGUCACCUUUGGAGACAAUCGGAAGACUUCAAAAGCAGAUCAAUAGAGACAUGCCAAGACCUGAACUUCCUCGUUAAUGUUGUCUCCUAUUUUAAAUGUCAUUUGCAUCAAACACUUGCUUCUGUGAUUACUAUGUCCUGGGAAGUAGGAAGGCAAAAUUGAACAUGUAGAAAGUCUAGCCCAGUAUUUCUAAGCUGCGCUCUUGGAAGCUGGGGUUUGCAGAGAGAUGUUGUAAGAGCAGGAUGAACAGGCUAAAUGAGGGACUGACAUUCAAGUGGAAAGAGAGGAGCUAGGAGCUGUAUGUGACACUUCAUUUGAAGAAAAGAUUCAACUCAUUAAAGAAACACGGAGUCUUUACUCAUACGGGCACACGUGAUUAUACUUUGUCUAAAUUGGUGAAAUUUUCAUUUUAAUUUCUGAAAAUGUUUUGUCACAUAUUAAGUUUGGGCAGGUUUUGUGUCAGUAAUGCACAAUUUCACUCAUUCACCCAUUUGCUUGUUCUUUUACCAACUAUUUAUGAUUUCACACUAGGAGCCAGGUGCUUCUCUGAAAGUGGGAACUGAAUAACACACAGUCCCGACACUGAAGGUUUGGGGGACUCAAUCUGGUGAAGAAGGUAGACAUAGAAACAAUGGAAGCACUUGCAGAGGGAACAGAGAGAGAUCCUUGUAAUUCCUCCUGAGAACAGGAGUAAAGGCUUUUGGGGAGAGAAAAUGCUUUAUUUUAGCCCGGAAGAAUGGAUAAGCAUUGAACAGGGAGCCCAGGACCGGAAGGACAUUUUAGAGACAAGCAGAGACAACAGCAAAUGCCAAGGACAGAGAUGGGAAAGGCAGAUUUCAUCGGCGUUCUGUUGAUCAAAGAUCAGUAUGUAUUUGGCAGUGUGGACAUGAGGUUCAAAAAGGAAAAUGGGCCUGGAUCAUAAAAAGUCCUUAUAGAGUAUAAAAAUGUUUACACCUUAAUGUUAGUUUUCCAGAUUUUUCCUUUCUAAUGUUAGGGAUAGCUAAUGGGAUUGCUUAACCCUCUAAUAAAUAGAGCUCUAACUAGGUUGGUAUUGUUUUCUCUCCCAUUUUGCAACCAAUUAUUUAUAAAUACCUCUGUGCUUUCAGAGGCUUAAGGGAUGGGAACUUCUGUGACUGUUUAUUAUCUAAAGCAAGAAUUGUGAAAUUUAGGGAUAAACCCUCUUGCUAUUAGAACUCACAAUAAAAUUUGAUUUAUUAAACAACAAAUAAUGGAGUUUUAUAGUAAGAAUUAGAAUGACCUCCACUUUCAAAGUAACUAGUAGAAUUAAGCUGUCAGUAGCAAUCAUUUCUUAAAAUCACAUUAUCUUUCUUUUUGUCGGAAAAUUCAAAAGUGACAAAUGCAAAGAGCUCUUUUGAUUACUAAUGUAUUAUGUUUCACGCUGAAAUGUACCUCGUUAAGUCUGCCUUUAUGAGGGACAAGAAUGAAACUUUGUGUAUAAGAAAAUUCAGAGGGUGGGGAUGUUUGAGAGCUAAAGCUUUUUGGCAUCAUUUAGGUUAGCCACCUGUUCUAGCCUGCAUUUGCUGAAUAAAUUAGAUGCUCUGGGGAGAGUGUAUGCAGCUGAUUGGUCUGCCCUGUUACCGAGGCAACCAUUUUUCUCUCUGCUCUAUGACUCUGAAAGGGUUCAUAACCCAUUAGUACUCCUCUGAGCAGGAACAUGAGAAAAUGUUUUUUUUUCCCUUGCUUUUCUUUCUUUCUUCAGUUUCUUUUAUAAAUAUCUGGUUAAGAUGAUGGGAUUAGUGGAAUUUAACAGAUACUCUUACUAUAUUGUUUAUUCAAGCAGUACAUUUUCCAGAUGUUUGAAAAACUUAGGUCCAAAUGUAAAGGCCCAUAAAAAACAGCUAAAAGCAGGGAUGCUAAGGAUAACUAAAUUUAAAAAAUUGAAAAUAUUUACAACUUAAAUGUGGAGUUCAUCUAAGGUAAUAUAUGUAAAAAUAAACUCUGAAUUUAGUCCAAAAGGCAGUGCAAGAAAGGCCAUUUCCCCCAAAUUAUUCCAGUUAUUAUUUCUGUCAGGGUUUUCUCACUUUGCAGAGGUGACGAGACAUGAAAGAGCAACAAUUUAGUGAAGGUUUUAUCAGAUUCAUCAAGCCAUAAAUUCUGGGAAGUCAGUGAUCAUUUUCUGUAUGCCAAAGGGCUGAGGAACUGGGGAGAGGGUACGGCUGACCCCAAACCAUGGUAAUACCAGGAAAUGAACACAGGUUUUCAUCCACAAGUCACAUGUAGACCUCAGCCUAUUUGUUUUCUUCUAUUUUGUAAACCAUAUUUAUCUUUCUUCUCCAACUCUGUGCUUUGCCCCUUUGAAUUCUAAAUCUUCAUGCAUUAAGAAACAAAACAAGAACAAUAGGCCUCCCCAAACAGAUAAAUUACUCCCUCACCCACCUUGUAGCAGGAAUGCUACAUUUUAUCCCAUUUGCUUCAUUCCUUCUGUCAACUCAGUGAGGCAGAGGUCAUUGAUCCUGUCUUGCAAUUGAGUGGAACUGAGACUCGAGUGGAUUACAUAAUUUGCUGAAG